GGAGCCCGUCGGGCCGAGGGGAGACCCGGCCCGCGCUCUGCGGCCGGGGCGUAGCUCUAGCUCAUCCCCCACCAGUUCAGCCACGGUAGGAUGAGGAGGAUGAGGGUUUGCGGGAGGAAAAGCUUUGGAGAGAUGGGGUGCGGGACUAUGGAACCCGCUUGAGUCCAGUAGGCCAGCGCGGGUCAUUUCCAUAAGAAAGCCGCAACCCAGCUGGAGGCUGCGGUUCUUCAUGGCCUCCCUGCCCCCACCAUCAUUGGCAGCGUGUCGCGGGCUUCUCUGCAGCCUAGAUCUAGGCGACUGGUGUGGAUUGGUGUUGAUGAGAUGUGGCUUCCAGCGUUGCCCGACUCAGACCUGUUUCCAGUCUGGAUGGAGCGGACCGACUGUGUGGGAUGGGGUGAGAGGAACAAGUGAAACUCAACAGCUAAGGAGAAAAUGAAGAACUAGUGCUACGUUUUCCACGUUCUUUUUGCUCCGGGGUUGACAUGGCAUUUGGCCUUUCUACCUGGAGAAAAUCAAGAGUAUGUAACUUUCCCUGCAGAUGGUCUGUCUGUAAGGUAAGGCAUUCACAUUGGGAUCUCGCAAGUCUCCAUGUAUAUUUACGUAUUUUUAUCCCCAGUCACCUGUCUUGGUUUUCUGGCAAGGGUCUGCAAAGGGAGGGAGACACAAGUGAAGUGGAGAUUUCCCUCUCUGGGGGCUUUUGUUUCCCUCUGAUGCCCCAGCUCACACUGCACAACAAAGGGAAGAGGCGAGUGAUCUCUCUUUUGGUCUCCUGGUCCCUCAUUUCCACCUCUCCUCUGUGGGCUUCCUCUUUGAGACCCGGAGGAAAGCCUGGGGAGGAGAUGGGGGGGGGGGUCAAGUUCACAACACUAGACUACUGCUGACCUUGCCAGACCCUUCUCCUUGAGAAGCAGAGAGCCCAUUUUAGAUGCUAGCCACUCUGUGCCUUUGGGUACUUUGGCCACUUCCAAAGACUGCAUAGUUGAGGCUGAUAGCUUCACACACCUCUCUGGUUAAAAAGCAUUGAGGACAAGGUCUGGUGAUUCCUGGAAGCGGUCCUCAAAGGGCCCAACCCCCACCCCAGCACUGGAGAGCCAUACACCUCAAGCAUGCCUUGCAAGGCCCUAUAUUCUCAUCACCGCAGAAACCAAAAACUCACAGAAACACACAGGACAGCUAUUAAAUAACUCUUGGAAGAGGUUAGAGGUCUUUACCUUGGGGCUGAGACAUUUUAAAGCCCUUUUGGGUAGAUCCUCAGGGGAUACGACAUAGAAAUUAAACUUGCUGGCUCAGUUUUAAAAUCCAAAAUCUCUCUCCUCUUAAAGCUGUUCAUUGAAAACGGUUUUUAGAUACCAUGUUGUUUGCUGAUGGUUCCUCUCACCAUUCUUAGGCUGGAGAGUCUCAAGGCCGUGCCACUAAGACUUCGGAGCUAGUUUUGGGGAGCCAUCCACUUUAUGAUUAGAUCUGUUGACUUUGUCUUUAACUCUGCGGGUGGGUUUUCAGACUUGAAAAAUGUAAAUGACAAGUUAACUCCUUCCCUGCCAGCACAUUACAGGAGUCUUUUCUUAGGGGAUGCCAGCUUGGCUUGUACUCAUCAAAGUGGGCACUGUGUCUGACCUGGGCAGAAAGAGGAGAUUUGACACUUUUCAUUUCAGAGCUGACACAGGAACCUUUGGGAGCCAGUAUCUAUUUUGUUUCCGACUGCAAAGUUCCAGCCAAUGAUUUGGAGGGGGGCCGGCACCUUCUGCUGGGAGCUAGUCUGGGAGGGAACAACUCAUUCCUGAGUUCUCUUUCGCAAACAUAUCUCUUGUCUAUUAAAAUAAUAGUAAUAAAAAUAAGAAUAAUAAUUAAAAGAUGUUUGUGCUUUC
rnacentral:lncRNA from 1 species